rnacentral:rRNA from 1 species
UAUGUGAUCGUCUCUCGCAUAUCAAUAAGCGGAGGAAAAGAAACUAACAAGGAUUCCCUUAGUAACGGCGAGUGGAGCGGGAAGAGCUCAAAUUUGAAAUCAUCAAGGUUUUACCUUGACGAAUUGUAGUUUAAAGAAGUGUUUUCUGUUGAAGUUUUGGUAAAAGUUCUUUGGAAUAGGACAUCAUAGAGGGUGAGAAUCCCGUAUUUGACCAUUAUUUUCAGCUGUGUGAUACACUUUCAAAGAGUCGGAUUGUUUGGGAAUGCAGUCCAAAAUGGGUGGUAAAUUUCAUCUAAAGCUAAAUAUUGGCGAGAGACCGAUAGCGAACAAGUACCGUGAGGGAAAGAUGAAAAGAACUUUGAAAAGAGAGUUAAACAGUACGUGAAAUUGUCAAAAGGGAAGCGUUUGACACCAGUGUUGUUUUCUCGAAAAUCAAUUAAAAAGAGUUAGAUUUUGUUGUGUAUUGACCUUAACAGCUUGCAUUUCAAUUUUCUUGCUUUUUUUAAUGCACUUUUCGUUUAACAAGUCAACAUCAGUUUCUUUUGUUGUAAAAAGGUCAUUGGAAGGUGGCUUUCUUUUCGGAGAAAGUGUUUAUAGCCUUUGACUCCUGCAAUCGGAGAGACUGAGGUCUGCAGCGUAGAUCCUUCGGGGUUAGAUACAUUUGUGCUAAGUUAUAGCUUUUUAUAGACAACUUGUUGACUAUGAUUAGUCUUGUAGCUUACUCGCUUAUGCUAUUUUACCUACGCUUAGGAUGUUGAAGAUGUAGCACAUCAU